rnacentral:rRNA from 1 species
CGGACGGGUGAGUAACGCGUGGGUAACCGUGCCUUGUACAGGGGGAUAACAGUUGGAAACGGCUGCUAAUACCGCAUAAGCGCACGGCAUCGCAUGAUGCAGUGUGAAAAACUCCGGUGGUAUAAGAUGGACCCGCGUUGGAUUAGCUGGUUGGUGAGGUAACGGCCCACCAAGGCGACGAUCCAUAGCCGACCUGAGAGGGUGACCGGCCACAUUGGGACUGAGACACGGCCCAA